rnacentral:rRNA from 1 species
GACGAACGCUGGCGGCGUGCUUAACACAUGCAAGUCGAACGGAAAGGCCCAGAUCUUGUUGUGUGUUCUCGAGUGGCGGACGGGUGAGUAACAAGUGCGUGAUCAGCCUUCUACUUCGAGAUAAGCUAGCGAACGUGGGUAAAACAACUAAUACGAGCCUGGUUUAGGGUGUAUUGUUGGAAAGUUUAUUGUUUUGGUGUAGUAUGAGCUCGUGGCCUAUCAGCUUGUUGGUGGGGUAUUGCCCUACAACGGCGUGGACGGGUAGGCGGCGUGUGAGAGUGGACGGCAGAAUUGGGCCUGAGAUACGGCCCAGACGCUAACGGGAGGCAGCAGAGGGGAAUAAUGCACAAGGGGCGGAAGACUGAUGCAGCGAGGCGGGGUGGGGGAUGACGGCCUUCGGGUUGUAAACUGCUUUUGUUAGGGACGAAGCCACGCUUUUUGGGUGUGGUGGCAGGAACUUUGUGAAGAAGCACCGGCUAACUACGUG